rnacentral:rRNA from 1 species
GAUCAUGGCUCAGGAUGAACGCUGGCGGCGCGCCUAACACAUGCAAGUCGAACGGCACCCCUCUCCGGAGGGAAGCGAGUGGCGAACGGCUGAGUAACACGUGGAGAACCUGCCCCCUCCCCCGGGAUAGCCGCCCGAAAGGACGGGUAAUACCGGAUACCCCCGGGCGCCGCAUGGCGCCCGGGCUAAAGCCCCGACGGGAGGGGAUGGCUCCGCGGCCCAUCAGGUAGACGGCGGGGUGACGGCCCACCGUGCCGACAACGGGUAGCCGGGUUGAG